rnacentral:misc_RNA from 1 species
AGCUCAUUCAUACAAUAGUACAUACUACACUAUUAAUACCUAGUCCCACAUGUCAUACACACCUUGCGUCUUGGAGUCCGUGCUACAGCUGGCUACAAAUCUGUAGCCCGCUGCUUUUCUCUCACCUUAUUUAUCUAAGAGCAGGUACAAUAGCAGGCAGCUGCAAACAUAUUUUAAGCAGAUAAAUGAGAAGAGAGAAUGACAGCGGGCUACAGAUCUGUAGCCAGCUGUAACACGGACUCCAAGACGCAGUGUGUGUAUGACAGGUGGGACCAGAUAUUAAUAAUGUAGUAUGUAACUAUCGUAUGAA